UACAGAGGGUGCGAGCGUUAAUCGGAAUUACUGGGCGUAAAGCGUGCGUAGACGGCUAUCUAAGUCUGAUGUGAAAGCCCUGGGCUCAACCUGGGAAUUGCAUUGGAUACUGGCAGGCUAGAGUGCGGUAGAGGGUAGUGGAAUUCCCGGUGUAGCAGUGAAAUGCGUAGAGAUCGGGAGGAACACCAGUGGCGAAGGCGACUACCUGGACCAGCACUGACACUGAGGCACGAAAGCGUGGGGAGCGAACAGG
rnacentral:rRNA from 1 species